rnacentral:rRNA from 1 species
UACGUAGGGGGCGAGCGUUGUCUGGAGUUACUGGGCGUAAAGCGCACGCAGGCGGUCUGUUAAGUUUGGAGUGACAGUUGGUGGCUCAACCACCAAAGUGCUUUGAAAACUGAUAGACUUGAGGGCUUCAGAGGGACACGGAAUUCCGGGUGGAGUGGUGAAAUGCGUAGAGAUCCGGAGGAACACCAAAGGCGAAGGCGGAUCUCUGGGCCGAUACUGACGCUGAGGAGCGAAAGCGUGGGGAGCGAACAGG